UCAGACUCAUGCAUUAUCUAGGACACUUAAACUAAAAGAAAAAUAAAAUAAAGUAAACAAAAAGCAAUAAAGGUAAAUAAACUAUCUAAAAACAACAAAGGAAAUGAACAAACUAACUAAAAACAGUAAAGAAAAGCGAUAAAGGCUCCUCCCACACUUAAAUCGAACAUUGUCCCCAAUGUUUCGAAAUAAGAUAAGGGAAGAGUUACCUGACAACCUACUGCUGACCACUGGUGCCUUCGCCAUCCUGAGGUGGACGAAGGGAUCGGGUACGACGACGACCUCGCUAAACCAUCCUGGCCUAUAA
rnacentral:lncRNA from 1 species